rnacentral:rRNA from 1 species
UGGCUUAGGAUGAACGCUGGCGGCGUGCUUAACACAUGCAAGUUGCGCGGUGAUCUCAAGAAGUUUCGGACGGAAAGGGAGAGCAGCAGCGGACGGGUGAGUAAAGCACAAGGACUUGUCCCGAAGAGGGGGACAACUGUGGGAAACCACAGCUAAUACCCCAUAAGCCGAGAGGUGAAAGCAGCGAUGCGCUUUAGGAGAGACUUGUGUCCUAUCAGGUAGUUGGUGAGGUAACGGCUCACCAAGCCGAAGACGGGUAGCCGGACUGAGAGGUUGUACGGCCACAUUGGAACUGAGAGACGGUCCAGACUCCUACGGGAGGCAGCAGUGGGGAAUAUUGGGCAAUGGGGGGCCAACCCUGACCCAGCGACGCCGCGUGAGGGAAGACAGCCUUCGGGUUGUAAACCUCUGUUGCAGGGGAAGAAGAAAGUGACGGUACCCUGCGAGGAAGCUCCGGCAAACUACGUGCCAGCCGCCGC